rnacentral:rRNA from 1 species
GACGAACCGUGCGAACGUUGUUCGGAAUCACUGGGCUUAAAGGGCGCGUAGGCGGCUUGGCCAGUCCGGGGUGAAAGCCCCCAGCUCAACUGGGGAAGUGCCUUGGAUACUGCCGGGCUCGAGCGAGAUAGGGGUCGUGGGAACUUCCGGUGGAGCGGUGAAAUGCGUUGAUAUCGGAAGGAACGCCGGUGGCGAAAGCGCACGACUGGAUCUCUUCUGACGCUGAGGCGCGAAAGCCAGGGGAGCAAACGGG